ACUUAAAUAACUUAUAUACAUAGAGUAUUAUAUUGAAGAUAUAAGAGAAAUAAAAAUUAUUUUUAAGUA
rnacentral:tRNA from 1 species